ensembl:lncRNA novel transcript
UAUGAAAUCAAAGGAUGAAGAAGAUCGUGCCCAGAGCUCUCCUUGGGGGUGGAUGACAGAAUGAACAUUUACUCUGGGCUCACUGGAAAAGCUCCAACGUCUUGGAAAUUGAGUGGGUAUAAGGAAUGCACAAAUUAGUUUUCCUGUGACAGCAUGCAGAGCACUUUUCCAAGGAGAAUGGCCCGGGAGCAGCUCAGUCCAUGCUUGUCAACCACCCACCUCCAUAUACUCCAGCCCUGGUCCACAUCCCCCAAGGCUCCUUUUGUAGGAUUCCUCAACAGCACAAAUGCACCAACUGUCACUCUAUGUUCUCCUAGACCUACAGGAGGAGUGUGCAGGUGAUAAUCCAGAGGAGGAAGUGUCAUCUAUCAAGGUGGAGUUCACAGCCAAAAAACACCGUACGUAUUCUAAGAGCACUCCCUUGCUGACAACAAAUCUAAGUGAUGAGAAAGGAGGAACUCUCUUGCCUGCUUUUGUCUGGAGACCCUUCCUGGCUUCAGCUUCCUGAUAGGAGUGAGGAUCUGGGGUGUGGUGUGAGAAACAGAAGUCCCAAUAAAGAACUAUGACCAUCCACUAUAGUCUCUGGAAACAGCCAUAUCAU